rnacentral:misc_RNA from 1 species
AUCAUUUAACACCUUUAUUGAACAUAACCAAAGCUUUGGCGGCAUGCCGUCAAAGAUUAUAACUAAACCAAAUAUAACUUGUCACAACCAAAAAAACAAUUAAUUAAAACUUUCAACAACGGAUCUCUUGGUUCUCGCAUCGAUGAAGAACGCAGCGAAAUGCGAUAAGUAAUAUGAAUUGCAGACUUUGUGAAUCAUCGAAUUUUUGAACGCACAUUGCGCCUUGUGGUAUUCCACAAGGCAUGCUUGUUUGAGCGUCAUCCACCCUCAAACCCCCGGGUUUGGCAGUGAGUGCACGUAUUCUGUUUACUCGAAAUAUCUUGCGGAAGUAUGUCUAGGAUUACCCAACUCAUUCUUCCCUGAAAUUUUAUUUAAACUGACCUCAAAUCAAGU